rnacentral:rRNA from 1 species
UACGGGGGGGGGCAAGCGUUGUUCGGAAUUACUGGGCGUAAAGGGCUCGUAGGCGGCCAACUAAGUCGGACGUGAAAUCCCCAGGCUCAACCUGGGAACUGCGUCCGAUACUGGAUGGCUUGAGUUCGGGAGAGGGAUGCGGAAUUCCAGGUGUAGCGGUGAAAUGCGUAGAUAUCUGGAGGAACACCGGUGGCGAAGGCGGCAUCCUGGACCGACACUGACGCUGAGGAGCGAAAGCCAGGGGAGCAAACGGGG